ensembl:lncRNA
CAGGUGGCAGCAACAAGCCCCGAGGAGGAGGGAUGUGGUUAACGAAUUCCACGAGGACCCAGAGCACAGAGAGAGCUGGAAUGCGGAGGGGGCCCCCUUCCAGCUAGAUCUGGAAAGGAGGUCAGGGUUUAGAUACUCAGAGCCGGACAGGAGAAACCUUUCCUAUAGAGGUGUGAGGAUAGAGGUGUUACAUUUGAGGACAGAUAAUGGACCCAUGUGGCAGGGUUUCCAGGAAGGUUAGAUCCUGGAAACGUUACAGAAGAAAUUAAGAAUUAAAGGUCUGCAAACACUUAUGAGAGAACAGUAAUUGUUAGGAAUCACUAAGCAUGGAUUCACUAAGAACGAGUCAUUUCCUGUUUUUUCUAGGAUCACCAGACUGGUAAACUAGAGGGUGUUGUCAAGGCCGUUCUUACCAUUGGCUGGAAGUCUCUAUCGUCCUGGGCAGGAGUGGAACAGGAGGCCCUGAGUUCUAAUGUGUAUCUCAUUUCAGCAGGGCGCCUGACACAGCCAGGCUGAGUGAGAUGCUUAUCAAGAGUGGGGUUUGCAUGAGAGAACAUUCAUUCCCAAAGGCAGCUGGUGCCAGACUGAUGGCUGGAUGGAGGACAGGCUGCAGUAUGGACAGGGGCUUCACAUUUGACCCUUUCCCCGUCUCCAUCAAUGUCUGCCAACGGCAAUAAGGAAACACACACAGGCUGAUCUAUCAGGAAAAAUAAAAGUAUUCACUGAUAUAUCAAAGAAAGGUCUUUGGGGACUAGAGCAACGUCUAAAACAAGCAGCAGAAAUACAAUGGGUAUUCAGCAUAAAAUGCUGGGCCUGUGGCCAAAAAGUCAACUGCUUAAGAAGCAGAUGGAGAAAUAUGUCUUAGAAGAGGUGCUGCAAGAAGAGACCUGGGGCUUUUAGUUCACGGCAAGUGAAACCAGUGUGAUGUGCCUGGAAGACUAUAUUCAGGAAGCAUCCAGUGUCUGUAUGGGGCUACCCUGACGGCGUGGCUGGUAAAGAAUCUGUCUGCAAUGUAGAACACACAUGAGAUGCGGGUUCGAUCCCUGGGUCGGGCAGACACCCUGGAGGAGGAAAUGGGCAAUGCAUUCAAUAUUCUCGCCUGAAAAAUCCCAUGGACAGAGGAGCCUGGUGGGUUACAGGCCAAAGGGUUGCCAAGAGUUGGACACCACUGAACGACUAAGCACGCAGUGUCUAUAUAUUCUCUGAUUCAGCAAAUCCUUAUUUCACCAUGCAGUUUGUGCUUCAGGCACUGACUGAGUUGGGCAGUAAAUAUACCAGAGGACCAUUCAGGUGAGGUACCUACCCAUAUAUGGUCCAUAGUUUUCUAGGGCAAAGAAGCAAACACACACAGAUUUGCUGAAACUUGUGACGGACAUAAACGAAGGUCAGAAAGAGUGUGAUGAGGGAUGUACUUUUCCUGGGGUGGCCAGGCCAGGCCAGGCCUCUCUGGGAAAGUGGCAUUGAAGCCAAGACCAUAUGAAGGGGAAGGGGAGACAGGGAGAUGGAACAUUCCAGGCAGGACAAGGGGUCCAUUGGCCAUGACCAUGGAAGGAGCUUGCUGUCUUUCCAAAACUGAAAGCCCAGUGAGGCCUGUGCAUAUUCGUGGCUGCCAACGUCCACUCCCCCGUUCCUCUCUGGGGAUGGUACCACCUUCCCAGCCUCCCUUGCAGCUGAGUACCUUGGGCUGAGUUCUCAGCAGUGAGAUGCUAAGAGGUGGUCUGUGUUGGGACCCGGGGUCCUAAAGAGGUGGACACGCCUCCUCACUCUCUGGGUUUCCUCCUGGUUGCAUCUGGGGCCUGGCAGCCAGGCAGCCUGGACCCCAUGGAACUGCGGUGCCCCAGCUGGAAGGGCCCUGGGUCCCUGAAUGACUGCAGAGAACCGGGCCACUUGCCGAUACCUGGAUCACUCACCUCACCCAGGGACACUGACCAUUUGAAGCAUGUAAAGCACAACAACAUUUAGGAUUCCAAAAAGCAAGUCAACGAAAAUCUGUUUAAGACACCACAGUUGUUUAGUCUGGAAAAGAGGUUUCUUCGGGGUGGCACGUCUUCAAGCACUGUGAAGGAGGAAUGAAGCUGGAAUGGAGUAACUUCUACAGGGGCGACGGGCGGGUCGGAUUUACUCGACGAGGCAGAUUCUGAAUCAACAGAGGGGAGACGUUCCUAAUGACCAGGGAUGAUUCGGAAGAGGCCAGAUGGCUUCAGGAUCCGAGGUUUCUCCCUGCCGCUGUGUCCCAGCAGGGAUCAGCUGCCCACCUGCCCACCUGUAAGGAGGUGUUUACAGGACUGAUUCUGAGAGCCCACACUGGUCAUUCGAUGCUUGCACUCGCAUCAAAGUAGCCUUUUAAGGAAAGCCAAGAGUAACGAAUUCAGAUUUUCAUGACUUUAUUCUUGAGAUAAUCCAAAAAAUAUUUGGGGACUAGCAUUUUUUUUUAACUUAUCUUCGGAGAUGAAUGAUCCAUUUAGCCCAAGGAACUCAAAGUACUUUACACCCUUGUCUCAUUCAGGCUUGUCACAUAUCUGAGCUGCUGUGUCAGGGGCAAGACCAUCAAACCCCCUCUCUCAGAUAAGGAGAAGGACUCACAAAGAGGGCCAGUGAGUUGUCCAAGGUCACAGUGAGUCACGGGCACGGUGGUAGGGCAGGCUCCUCACCCGAGGUCUCCCACGCUGCUCCAAGCCCAUGCAAAGGGGACCCUCAGCUAGGAAAGUCUCCCACGGACAGGAGGAACCAACCUAAACCAACAGUCUUUCCAGAGUUGGAAAUGACCUGAGACAUUUCAAGUUCAAUCAGUUUCAUUUCGCAGGUGAGGAAACUGAGGCUCACAUGAGGUCACCUGGAGUGAGGCAGAGCUAGGACUCAAGCCCAGUGCCCAGGAUCACAUCCUGCCUACUCACAAAUGGCCCGGGAACAGCCCCUACACAAUUACCUGGAAUCAACUGGGUCAUCACCAUUAGCUCUGCUGUCUGGAAAUCUAAAGGCUCAUAUUGGCUUUGGCCACCAAAGAGAGGAAACACUCUGCAAUGCUCGAAGACUCACAGCGGAGGGGGGCGGGGAGCAUCGUUUGUGCCUUGUAUUACAAAGUCCAAAGGCAAAACAUAUGUUUCCCAUUUGUCCUGGGAUGGGAAACUUUUCCUUUCGCUUAAUCUCGGUUUAAACAAACAGAGAGACUGCCCUUUUCGUAAACUCACCCAACGUCAAAUAUUGUUCACUCGCCCAGCAUCGGCUUACUAAGCCACUACACAGCGCCUUUGCCUCAUGU